rnacentral:lncRNA from 1 species
UCUUUGCAAGCUGCUGAAAUCCUCUAUAAAUAGUUCGUUCCAUUUCAUUUUCAAAUCAUCCAACUUAGUUUACAACACUAAGACUAUAUUUAUCAUCUGUAAAGCGGUAUUCCGUCACAUCGGGAGGUUAUCGCACCUUAGUGAGAUUGAGUUGAGUCACUUCGAGUUGUUGUCGUCUUUAUCUUCAGAGUCGGAGGUUUAUUUUCCUUGUACCAGAUUUAAAGCCUCUCUUUGGAGCAGAUUCUUAUUUAUCGCUUUUAUUUAUUUACUUGUCUCACUUUAU